GACGAACGCUGGCGGCGUGCUUAACACAUGCAAGUCGAACGGAAAGGCCCUGCUUUUGUGGGGUGCUCGAGUGGCGAACGGGUGAGUAACACGUGAGUAACCUGCCCUUGACUUUGGGAUAACUUCAGGAAACUGGGGCUAAUACCGGAUAGGAGCUCCUGCUGCAUGGUGGGGGUUGGAAAGUUUCGGCGGCUGGGGAUGGACUCGCGGCUUAUCAGCUUGUUGGUGGGGUAGUGGCUUACCAAGGCUUUGACGGAUAGCCGGCCUGAGAGGGUGACCGGCCACAUUGGGACUGAGAUACGGCCCAGACUCCUACGGGAGGCAGCAGUGGGGAAUAUUGCACAAUGGGCGGAAGCCUGAUGCAGCAACGCCGCGUGCGGGAUGACGGCCUUCGGGUUGUAAACCGCUUUCGCCUGUGACGAAGCGUGAGUGACGGUAAUGGGUAAAGAAGCACCGGCUAACUACGUG
rnacentral:rRNA from 1 species